ACCCCUGUGAGAACGCCCGAACAGACCUCUGCCCGAGAUCAAGGAGCCGGUAUCAGGCACCCCCUUAUGGAGCCCAUGACGCCUAGCUUAGCCACACCCCCAAGGGAAUGCAGCAGUGAUAAACAUUAAGCAAUAAGCGAAAGCUUGACUUAGUUAUAGUUAUACAUAGGGCUGGUCAAGACCCGUGCCAGCCACCGCGGUUAGACGGGAAGCCCAAGUAGAUAAGUUACGGCGUAAAGUGUGGUUAAGGAAAUAUACUAAAAUAAAGCGGAACACCCUCCAGGCUGUUAUACGUUACUGAGGUUAAAUAAACACAUCUACGAAAGUGGCUUUAAUACUCCCCAUCCACGAAAGCUUUGGCACAAACUGGGAUUAGAUACCCCACUAUGCUUAGCCUUAAACCUUGAUGACGACUCACAAAAUGUCAUCCGCCCGGGUACUACGAGCGCAAGCUUAAAACCCAAAGGACUUGGCGGUGCUUUAUACCCCUCUAGAGGAGCCUGUCCAAGAACCGAUAAUCCUCGUUAAACCUCACCUCUCCUUGCAACGUGACCCA
rnacentral:rRNA from 1 species